GUCACCAAAAAUUGAGACGCCUGGGUGGGGGCUGGGCACCGAAUCCUCGGCUCCAGAGUUAAGCAUGGACUUCACUCUUCAUUUCAAACCUGGACCAAUAAGAAAGGACAGAGAUCAGAGAUGAGCCAGCUGAAGCAACUAUAGGAAAUCAUUUAGCAGAGAGCAUGGGUCAUAGCACUCUUGCCUACUUCAGCCAAACAGGUUCUGCACCUCUCUAGAACCCCAGCACCUUGGCUGAUGCAGUGGAGGCUCAAACGUCAUUUGCUAAUGGUUUUAGAUUUCCCCAAAAGCAGCUCCUAGGAAAAAGACUUAUGAGCAAGUAGCUUAUUCAGGAGUGUCAGACCAAUAAACACAGGAAAUUAUUAAGAACAAAGACACAGAUAUAUUUUUUGAAUUGACAAGCACUAGGUGAGGCUGGGUGUUUCAUGCCAUUGGACUUUCAGAGAAGCGAGAUGAAAUGCUUCGUAGAGCCAUCCACGCCAGAGGAAUAAAGGAGGAAGCAUUUACCACUGGCUCCUAUUCUUUGUGGAUGAAUUAUUGCUCCAUGGACUGUGCCUGAGCUAGUGCCAAAUGGAUUCCCAAAGGCAUCCCACACCAUAUAUGAGAGAAGUCCUGGAGUGGAAAGCAGGAUAUGUGCAGAGGAAUCCUAUAAAGCACUGUCAGAUUGUACCUGCAUGAAGCUGGAUGAAGGAUGAGUGGAACCAGUUAUCUCAGAUCAGCUAGAAUAAGCAGUGAAGAUAAGAACAGUUGAAGCUCUGAGGUGGUACCCAAGGUAUGUCAGAUACAGUCUACCCUUUUAUCCUUUGCUUUUGCUCUCUCAGUCCAAACAAUUACACAGUAAUUUCCAAGUGGUAGCCACCACAGGCUCUGCAAAGAUUUAAACAAAGCAGUUAGUGGAGCAGGCUGAAUGACUAUAGCCAGUCCUGUGGCUGUAAUUGACAUUCAAUAGACCUCUCUACCACCAACCAUUCCAGACACCCUUCCCCAUGGGCUCGCACUUCAACUGGGAUGCUGGUAAUGACUCAAAUAUUCACCUUCAGAUAAGCCCUUGGAAUCCUUGCCAUUGUGGGACUAUAGUUGUUGCCUUUCCCCACAUACCAUUAUCGACAGCUUGGAAACAAGAAGAGACAUCCCUAAUGAAUGCCCUGGGUUUCAGGCUUAUUUCUCCCUGCUGCCGUUAUGUUGCAGGACCUCCUGCUUUACCUGGUAAUGAGAGUCCAUUGGACUGAGUAGCACAGUCAUUCUCUCCUUUGCCUCCUAGACUGUUGUCAUAAGAAAUUCUAAGUAACUCACACCCCAGUUACACAACUGCAUUAUUUGGAUACAUUUAAACUAACUCAUCUUUUUGGAAGACAGUGUCCUUUUCCACACGUAAUUUACAGAGAACGUGUAAGAAAUAAACAAGGAUGUAAUGGAAUUUGAGAAGAAGGAAUAUUCCAAUGGAGAUGACCUGUUAAUUUCUCGGUGUUCUAACAAGAAGUCAGUCUCAUUCUGUGUGUCAUGACAUGUAUAGAGGUUUCAGAAUUUUUAUUCUGUAGCAGCUCUCAAAGUGAAAGUGAGGGAGUUCCAGUCUUGGCGCAGCAGAAACAAAUCCAACUUAGAACCAUGAGGUUGCGGAUUUGAUCCCUGACCUUGAU